CUACGGGCGGCAGCAGUCGCGGAACCUUUACACUGCGCGAAAGCGUGAUAGGGGGAUUUCGAGUGGUCACACUGUGACCUUUUGCCAAACGUAAAAAGUUUGGCGAAUAAAGAGGGGGUAAUAUACGUGCCAGCCGCCGCGGUAAUACGUAACCUCUAAGUGGUUUCCACUUGUAUUGGGCCUAAAACACCUGUAGCCUGUGCAAUCAGUCUUUGGUGAAAUCAAACAGCUCAACUGUUUAAAUUGCUAAAGAUACUGUUGUGCUUGGGGAAGGAAGACGUGAAGGGAAUUUUUGGGGUAACGGUGAAAUGUGAUGAUCCCAAAAAGACCACCAGUAGCGAAGGCGCUUCACGAGGACUAUCCCGACGGUGAGAGAUGAAAGCUGGGGGAGCGACCAGGAUUAGAUACCCCUGUAGUC
rnacentral:rRNA from 1 species